AUUGAACGCUGGCGGCAGGCCUAACACAUGCAAGUCGAACGAGCGGCGGACGGGUGAGUAAUGUAUGGGGACUGCCCGAUAGCGGGGGAUAACUACUGGAAACGGUAGCUAAUACCGCAUACUCUCAGAUAGCCCAGAUGGGAUUAGCUAGUGGGUGGGGUAAGGGCUCACCUAGGCGACGAUCCCUAGCUGGUCUGAGAGGAUGAUCAGAGACACGGGAACUGAGACACGGCCCAGACUCCUACGGAGGCAGCAGUGGGGAAUAUUGCACAAGGGGCGCAAGCCUGAUGCAGCCAUGCCGCGUGUGUGAAGAAGGCCUUAGGGUUGUAAAGUACUUUCAGUCGGGAGGCGUUACCAACAGAAGAAGCACAGGCUAACUCCGUGCCAGCAGCCGCGGUAAUAC
rnacentral:rRNA from 1 species